rnacentral:rRNA from 1 species
GACGAACGCUGGCGGCGUGCCUAACACAUGCAAGUCGAGCGAUGAAGUUUCCUUCGGGAAAUGGAUUAGCGGCGGACGGGUGAGUAACACGUGGGUAACCUGCCUCAUAGAGGGGAAUAGCCUCCCGAAAGGGAGAUUAAUACCGCAUAAUAUUACAAUUUAGCAUGAAACAGUAAUUAAAGGAGCAAUACGCUAUGAGAUGGACCCGGGGCGCAUUAGCUAGUUGGUGAGGUAACGGCUCACCAAGGCGACGAUGCGUAGCCGACCUGAGAGGGUGAUCGGCCACAUUGGGACUGGGACACGGCCCAGACUCCUACGGGAGGCAGCAGUGGGGAAUAUUGCACAAUGGGGGAAACCCUGAUGCAGCAACGCCGCGUGAGUGAUGACGGUCUUCGGAUUGUAAAGCUCUGUCUUUGGGGACGAUAAUGACGGUACCCAAGGAGGAAGCCACGGCUAACUACGUGCCAGCAGCCGCUGUAACAC